CCUCUUUUUUUUUUUUUUUACAGCAGAUCGGAUCCUUCGAAGCAUCCACCGAUUCAUUUUCAGCCAGUUUUUUUCUUUAGUAUCGAUCAAACAUGAGCUUCCUCUUUGGCAAGAGAAAAACUCCCGCAGAGCUUCUGCGGGAAAAUAAGAGGAUGUUGGAGAAACCUAUCAGAGAGAUAGAAAUUGAUUGAAGAGGAAACCAAAUAACUUGUGAACCAAGUUCUUGAUGAGAUUGGAAUUGAUAUCAAUCAAGAGCUCGUCAAUGCACCAUCAUCUGCUGUUGCGGCACCAGCUUCAAAGGGCAAGGUUGCUGCGCAGGCAGAACCAACUGGGAACGAUGACGGUGGGAUAGAUAGCGACUUACAGGCAAGGCUAGACAAUUUGAUAAGGAUGUAGUAAGUAUGCCUUAUUUCUCUUUUGU